AAGACUAUAGACCUGCGGAGUACCUGCGGAAGGAUCAUUAUUGAAGUCAAGAGCGCUGUGCUGGCUUCUUCAUUGGAGUAAUGUGCACGCGUUCAACAACUUUACCUUUUUUUCUUGUGAACCUAUAGUAGUGCAUUCACCGUUUAGAAAGGGCGUUUCCUUGUUUUGCUUCACGGCAACUAGGGGUUUCACCUGUGAAUGACUAUGAUUUUUUAUACACCCAAUCAAGUCUUAGAAUGU
rnacentral:misc_RNA from 1 species